GUCCUCAUAGCUCAACUGGAUAGAGCGUCAGCUUGCGGAGCUGAAGGUUGGAGGUUCAAGUCCUCCUGGGGACA
rnacentral:tRNA from 3 species